rnacentral:rRNA from 1 species
UAGGGAAUAUUAGUAAUGGGCGAAAGCCUGAACUAGCAACACCGCGUGUGCGAAGAAGGCCUUCGGAUUGUAAAGCACUUUUUGAGAGGAUGAGGAAGGACGGUACUCUCAGCAUAAGUCUCGGCUAACUACGUGCCAGCAGCCGCGGUAACACGUAGGAGGCAAACGUUAUCCGGAUUUACUGGGCGUAAAGCGCGUGUAGGUGGUUUGGUAAGUAGAGCGUGAAAGCUCCUGGCUCAACUGGGAGAGGUCGUUCUAAACUGCCGGACUAGAGGAUGGUAGAGGGAGGUGGAAUUCCGGGUGUAGCGGUGGAAUGCGCAGAUAUCCGGAGGAACGCCAGUGGCGAAAGCGGCCUCCUGGACCACUCCUGACACUCAGACGCGAAAGCUAGGGUAGCAAACG